rnacentral:rRNA from 1 species
GAUGAACGCUGGCGGCGUGCCUAAUACAUGCAAGUCGAGCGAACAGACGAGGAGCUUGCUCCUCUGACGUUAGCGGCGGACGGGUGAGUAACACGUGGAUAACCUACCUAUAAGACUGGGAUAACUUCGGGAAACCGGAGCUAAUACCGGAUAAUAUAUUGAACCGCAUGGUUCAAUAGUGAAAGACGGUUUUGCUGUCACUUAUAGAUGGAUCCGCGCCGCAUUAGCUGUUGGUAAGGUAACGGCUUACCAAGGCAACGAUGCGUAGCCGACCUGAGAGGGUGAUCGGCCACACUGGAACUGAGACACGGUCUAGACUCCUACGGGAGGCAGCAGUAGGGAAUCUUCCGCAAUGGGCGAAAGCUUGACGGAGCAACGCCGCGUGAGUGAUGAAGGUCUUCGGAUCGUAAAACUCUGUUAUUAGGGAAGAACAAAUGUGUAAGUAACUAUGCACGUCUUGACGGUACCUAAUCAGAAAGCCACGGCUAACUACGUG